ACUGUUCAUUUUAUGGUCAAAUCUUACAAUUACAGAGACACAAUGUUGAUAACUGUGGGGAAAUCUAGUGAUCAAUCUAGCAAUCACAAUUCUCUGACAAGAACACUCAUGGAAUAGCACAUCACUUUAGAGCAUAUUCAUGCUGAUGCAAUCAUUGCACUAGUGAAGAAUCUGUCAUCUGACAUCUGUAUCAAAGAAUCUAAAACAGGCUUCUUCUGUGAUAGCUGUGUCAAAGCAGACAUGAUAUGCAAGUUCUCAUAAACUUCCAUGCCACAAGCAUUGCAAGCAAUGCAAUAUAUUCAUAUUGAUCUUGCUGGCAGCAGUUGUAUGCUGAAUGAUAUAUCUGAUUACUCUAUAGAAUCUUAUCAAGGGAUCAAAUAUUAUAUACUUAUCACCAAUGACACCACCCAUUAU
rnacentral:sRNA from 2 species